UACGUAGGGACCGAGCGUUGUCCGGAUUCAUUGGGCGUAAAGAGCUCGUAGGUGGUUUGUUACGUCUGCUGUGAAAACCUAGGGCUUAACCCUGGGCUUGCAGUGGAUACGGGCAGACUAGAGGUAGGUAGGGGAGAAUGGAAUUCCUGGUGUAGCGGUGAAAUGCGCAGAUAUCAGGAGGAACACCGGUGGCGAAGGCGGUCUCUGGGCCUUACCUGACACUGAGGAGCGAAAGCGUGGGGAGCGAACAGG
rnacentral:rRNA from 1 species